CAGGCCUUGACAUCCAGCGAACUUGGCAGAGAUGCCUUGGUGCCUUCGGGAACGCUGAGACAGGUGCUGCAUGGCUGUCGUCAGCUCGUGUUGUGAAAUGUUGGGUUAAGUCCCGCAACGAGCGCAACCCUUAUCCUUUGUUGCCAGCACGUCAUGGUGGGAACUCAAAGGAGACUGCCGGUGAUAAACCGGAGGAAGGUGGGGAUGACGUCAAGUCAUCAUGGCCCUUACGAGUAGGGCUACACACGUGCUACAAUGGCGCAUACAAAGAGAAGCGACCUCGCGAGAGCAAGCGGACCUCACAAGGUGCGUCGUAGUCCGGAUCGGAGUCUGCAACUCGACUCCGUGAAGUCGGAAUCGCUAGUAAUCGUGGAUCAGAAUGCCACGGUGAAUACGUUCCC
rnacentral:rRNA from 1 species